UACGGAGGGAGCUAGCGUUGUUCGGAAUUACUGGGCGUAAAGCGUGCGCAGGCGGCUUCUCAAGUCAGUGGUGAAAGCCCGGAGCUCAACUCCGGAAUUGCCAUUGAAACUGUGGAGCUUGAGGACGAGAGAGGUGAGUGGAAUUCCCAGUGUAGAGGUGAAAUUCGUAGAUAUUGGGAAGAACACCGGUGGCGAAGGCGGCUCACUGGCUCGUUUCUGACGCUCAGGCACGAUAGCGUGGGGAUCAAACAGG
rnacentral:rRNA from 1 species